rnacentral:lncRNA from 1 species
GUGCCCUACUUUGACCAGGGUGCUGGGGGCUAGUGCCCUACUUUGACCAGGGUGCUGGGGGCUAGUGCCCUACUUUGACCAGGGUGCUGGGGCUAGUGCCCUACUUUGACAGGGUGCUGGGUGGCUGUGCACACUUUGACCAGGGGGUAGUACCUACUUUGACCAGGGUGCUCGGGGCUAGUGCACUACUUUGAUGAGGGUGCUGGAGCUAGUGCCCUACUUUGACCAGGGUGCUGGGGGCUAGUGCCCUACUUUGACCAGGGUGUGGGGGCUAGUGCCACUACUUGACCAGGGGCUGGGAGCUAGUGCCCUACUUUGACCAGGGUGCUGGGGCUAGUGCCCUACUUUGACCAGGGUGUGGGGGCUAUGCCCUACUUGACAGGGUGCUGGGGGCUAGUGCCCUACUUUGACCAGGGUGCUGGGUGCUAGUGCCCUACUUUGACCCGGGUGCUGGGGCUAGUGCCCUACUUUGACCAGGGUGCUGGGUGCUAGUGCACUACUUUGACCAGGGUGCUGGGGGCUAGUGCCUACUUUGACAGGGGCGUACUACUUUGACCAGGGGCUAGGGCUAGUGCCUACUUUGACCAGGGUGCUGGGGCUAGUGCCCUACUUUGAC